rnacentral:rRNA from 1 species
GGAUUAGAUACCCUGGUAGUCCACGCCCUAAACGAUGAGAACUAGGCGUUGGGAGGCUUUGACCUCUUAGUGCCGAAGCUAACGCGUUAAGUUCUCCGCCUGGGGAGUACGGUCGCAAGAUUAAAACUCAAAGAAAUUGACGGGGGCCCGCACAAGCGGUGGAGCAUGUGGUUUAAUUCGAUGCAACGCGAAGAACCUUACCUGCCCUUGACAUUCUCAGAAUCUUCUUGUAAUGAGAAGAGUGCCUUCGGGAGCUGAGUAACAGGUGCUGCAUGGCUGUCGUCAGCUCGUGCCG